CUGCAGUUCUCUAGAUCAUUCGGCUCUGAAGCUUGCCUUGUUCCUCCCCUUUGUCAGACACGGGGGUUCCUCUCUCGCGCACCGAUGGACGCUUACCAGCCGCCGCCGCACAUGAGACCUCCGGCGAGGCCUGCACCGGCGGAUCCCUAUCAUCAGUACUACCAGAACCCGGCUAGACCUCCGGCGCCUCCUCCUCCGCAGCCGCAGGGCCCUUCUGCAUGGUACCCUAACAAUCAAUACCAUUACCCUCACUCCCCGUCUCCGCCUCCUCCUCCUCCGCCGCAGUGGGGCCCUCCUCCGCCGGAACAUCUUCCUCCUCAACCCCAUUCUUCCCCCGCGUAUCCUCCACCUCCUCCUUUUCCUCUGCACCCUCACCAGCCGCCGUUCAGCGCCGGCGCCAACAACAGCGGUCAGUUUCCGUUUCCUCCCAGACCGCCGUUGCCUCCGCCAUACCCUCAGGAAUGGAGCAAUCAGAAUUGGGGAUAUCACCAAGGUCACAUCUCUCAAGCUAAUAGCAACGCUGAAGACUGGGCAGUCAAAGCCAGAGAAUGGGCUGCUGCAAAAGCUGUUGCAGAGGAUCAACAUUCGCAAUCUGCAGCGUAUCCACCAAGCGGAGCAGGUGAACAAAUUCACCAACAAUAUCAAGAUGUUCAUCAGCACUCGGUUCCAGGAUUAAGCUAUCAUCAGUUUCCGGUUCCGCCUCCAGCAACACCAACCGGAUACCCAAAUUAUCCAGCAGUAGAUGGAAGUCUGCCUGGAGCUUCAUCUGCUGGAUAUUCUCAUCAAGAGAACUUACCCACCAGUUCUGCAAUUCAUCAGCAGGAGGUACCUUCUAGUUAUUCUUCUGUAGCAGGUAAAGAAGAAUCUAGCAAUACGACACAAAGUGAGGCACAGAUAUUGGUGCUUCCUGCUGGUGGACCAAUUUCGGCAGAGCAGUCUUAUGUAUAUGGAGAUCAAUCGUCUGCACCACCUAGUAGUCUUAGUGACCAGCCCUUACAGUUUACUAGUAGGGCUAGUUCUGAAAAUGUUAGUCUUCAUAAUGCCUGGCCUCCCCCUAGCGCAACGGGCAUGGUGUAUCCCCCGAUUCCUUCAUCCUUGCCCUCAGCAGCACAGCACAACCCAUCUAUGGUUAUGCCGCAUGUUUCGGGUCAUGCCAUGCCUCCAUUUGGGGGAUUCCCUCCUCCAAAUCUCCAGUCCACAGUUCAGUCUGUAGGACCACCUUAUGCUUUUGGCGCAAAGCCACCACUUCAUCCUGUUACAGCAUUCAUGGAUGACACAUAUUCAGCAACUGCUGUGCCUGAACGCCCAAAAAAGGCACCUGUACCUGUCUGGCUUAAGGAGGAAAUAUUGAAGAACAAAGCUGCUCUUGGAAAAUCUUCUUCAGGAAAUACCGUGGGAAGAGAGUCUAUAGAUGAUGACUCCCUUGACAAUACUCUUGGGAAACCUGAUCGGCCUGAUGCUAAAAGCUUCAGUUCUUCUAAAUUCACCGACGAAGAGGAAGAAGAAGAGGACGAUGAGGACGAUGUGGAAGCAGCUAGAACCGCAGCUAUUAACCAGGAGAUAAAACGUAUCUUGACUGAAGUUCUUCUUAAGGUAACAGACGAACUAUUUGAUGAAAUUGCAACAAAAGUUAUUAGUGCGGAUGAUAUGAGAACAGAAGAUGAUGAGCAGAUGCACCAGGCUUCAGCAAAGAUUCUAGUUCCGCCUAAAGUUAAGGAAUCUGAGAUGGAAGGUACAAGUAGAAAAGCUGGCUCUGGCUCCCAGGGAGGUGUGCUAGGUCUUGUGAGCUAUGCCUCUGAUGAUGACGACAACGAAGAUGGUUAUGCCGAUACCAAUGGACGUCCUGAUGCUGUUGCCGUUGAUGGAGAUCAAAAUCCUCUCAUGGACUCGAGUAAUGGUGUUCUUCGGCAGCCCAACACUAAGAAACUUCUUGAACAUGAUGUGGUAUCCAAUGCAGGAUCAGAGUUAGAAACUGAAGCCAGUGAGAUCUUCCCCAAGAACCAUAAGUCAAGCGUUGAUGAAUAUUUGGAGAAAUGUGGAUCCAAGAGAAGUAAUGACAAAGCUGAUGUUGAUGCUAGUAAAGUGCGUGAUAGAAGCAGAGAAGAACACCCUGAAGGUAGUGACAUACAUAAAGAUGCAGCAAGAAAAGAUCCUCCCACAAAAAAUGCUGGUGCAAAAUCAGAUAGUUCCAGCAAAGAUUUGCAUGAAGAGGUGAGUGGGGAUACAAGUAGAGCAGAUGAUAAGGACGCCCGAAAAGACAAGGCAGAUCAUCGGAAUGGCUCAAGAGAUAGAACUAGGCAGAACGAUGUAAAGCCUGCAGAGAAGGACAAGGGAUCUGAAUCAAAUAAAAAGUCCAAUGCCCAUGAUGCUAAGAAGGAUUGGAGAGAAGGGGAGAGACCUAAAAGGACAAGUUCCAAGGAAGAUGGAGAUAGAAAAAGGGAGAGAGAAAAGGAAGAAGAACGAUCGAGACAUAGGCAUGUUAGGGAGAUGACGAGCAAGGAUAAGAGAAGACGUUCUUCUCCAACCAGCGAUGAAUCAUCUGAUGAUGAUUCACGAAGAAAGUCCCAUUCGAGGAGAAGAAAUUCAUCACCAUCUCCUGUAAGGUCCAGAAGAAGGUUAGCCUUUUCUGAACUUAAAAAUCUGACUGCUUAAACCUUAAAUUAGCCCAUACACACGCUUGAUGACUUGGUGAUAUGCUUGUUAGUAAAAAAAAAAUAGCUCUUUUACUUUUGCCUGCCACUACUGUGGUGGUGUUGAGAGAUCAUGCAUAUGCAAUAGCAUAUGGUUUCACUUUGAUGUUGUCAAUGUCAAAGCGUCAAAAAGAGAAGAUGGGGGCUUUUACCAUACAUAGAAUGACAUGAAUGGAUAUGACAAAAGGUACAUACCAUAUGCCCCGAGACACACACCCUGUUACUGAUGUCCCCUUUUCUUAGUUAAGUGGAAGCUCUGAGUGUUUUUCUUAAAUGCCAUCGAACCAGCCUGAUAGUGUGCUUUUUUUUUCAUUAUUAAAAAAAAACAGGGGAAGAGAAUCAAGAUCGAAGUCACCACACAGCCGGAAGAGGGGUGUGAUGAAAGGGAAAGGG